rnacentral:rRNA from 1 species
UACGUAGGGUGCGAGCGUUAAUCGGAAUUACUGGGCGUAAAGCGUGCGCAGGCGGUUUUAUAAGCCAGAUGUGAAAUCCCCGAGCUCAACUUGGGAACUGCGUUUGGAACUGUCAGACUAGAGUGCGUCAGAGGGGGGUGGAAUUCCGCGUGGAGCAGUGAAAUGCGUAGAGAUGCGGAGGAACACAGAUGGCGAAGGCAGCCCCCUGGGAUGACACUGACGCUCAUGCACGAAAGCGUGGGGAGCAAACAGG